rnacentral:misc_RNA from 1 species
AAGGAUCAUUAUUGAAAACUAUUUUAAUAGUUCUCAAUUCUAAACCCCUUUGUUUGUACUUACCAUGUUGCUUCCACUGGACAGGCUAACCUUGUAUUACCAAGUAAAGCCCUCUAGAUUGUGCCUCUGGUACUUUCUUGGGAGCUGCCGGUGGAUAGAACCUAUAAAUUCUGUUUGUAAAACCUAUCUUGUCUGAAUUAAAUAUUGAAAUGAUAUAAAACUUUCAACAACGGAUCUCUAGGCUCUU